rnacentral:rRNA from 1 species
UACGUAGGGGGCAAGCGUUGUCCGGAAUCAUUGGGCGUAAAGCGCGCGUAGGUGGCCUCAUAAGUCCGCUGUGAAAGUCAAAGGCUCAACCUUUGAAAGCCGGUGGAUACUGUGAGGCUAGAGUACGGAAGAGGCGAGUGGAAUUCCUGGUGUAGCGGUGGAAUGCGCAGAUAUCAGGAGGAACACCAAUAGCGAAGGCAGCUCGCUGGGACGGUACUGACGCUGAGACGCGAAAGCGUGGGGAGCGAACAGG